ensembl:lncRNA
CACCUGUCUAACCUUUCCAGCUUAUGCUGACCACCUCUUUCCUUCCUGAAGAUUCACACUUCUAAUUUUCUAUUCAAGGAAGGUGACUUAGUAAGGCUGGAGAGAAGAGAUACAUUAAGAGGCAGACUCCUUGAAGAUCAGAAACUAGAGAGAAAAGAAGGUUGCCCAUGAGACACAGAAAAGAGGGCUGAGUUUCUGUCAUCUGGCAAGAAGAUCCAAUAAACAUGCUGUUUUUUUCUCCAAAGAACACAUGAGAUAAGUGAUGAAGAAAGAAUGCAAGUGUUGAAGCAAUAGCAAUAGCAACCAUGACCAGAAAACCUGCUAUAACUUCAG